GAAGACGAUUCAAGAAGAGGAACAUUGUUGAGAAAGUGAUUGGGACUUGCAAACAGGAUUCGAGUCACUGGUUUACACAUGGAAGAAGAUUUCCACGUCUGUUACUCAACUCUACAGAAGCAAGAUGUUUUGUUUCAGUUGAUGUCCAGAUGGCAAGCAAUACAGACGUGUUUCUU